rnacentral:rRNA from 1 species
UGGGGAAUAUUGCACAAUGGGCGCAAGCCUGAUGCAGCGACGCCGCGUGAGGGAUGAAGGCCUUCGGGUUGUAAACCUCUUUCAGUAGGGAAGAAGCCGGCCUUUGGGUUGGUGACGGUACCUGCAGAAGAAGCGCCGGCUAACUACGUGCCAGCAGCCGCGGUAAUACGUAGGGCGCAAGCGUUAUCCGGAAUUAUUGGGCGUAAAGAGCUCGUAGGCGGUUUGUCGCGUCUGCCGUGAAAGUCCGGGGCUUAACCCCGGAUCUGCGGUGGGUACGGGCAGACUAGAGUGCAGUAGGGGAGACUGGAAUUCCUGGUGUAGCGGUGAAAUGCGCAGAUAUCAGGAGGAACACCGAUGGCGAAGGCAGGUCUCUGGGCUGUAACUGACGCUGAGGAGCGAAAGCAUGGGGAGCGAACAG